rnacentral:lncRNA from 1 species
CCGAAUUCUUCAUUCCCAUAUCCCAUGAAGAUACAUUCUUUCGACUUUGCGUCGAGCUUGGAUCUCUCGUCUUUAGGAAUAUGAACAAAAGCUCUACAACCAAAAACUUUCAGAUGAUUGUAGGAAACGUCUUUUCCCGACCAGAACUUGUUCGGGACAUCACCAUUCAAAGGUGCUGAAGGAGAAAGGUUGAUUAGAUCAACCGCAGUCAUCAGGGCUUCACCCCAAAAACUUUUGGGCAGCUUGGCAUGAGAUAACAUUGUUCUUAUUCUUUCAACAAUUGUUCUGUUCAUUCUCUCAGCUAUGCCAUUAUGCUGAGGAGUCUUCGGAACAGAUCUUUCAUGCCUGAUUCCGUUACUUCUACAGUAGUUUCUAAACGCCCCCAUAUAUUCUCCUCCGUUAUCGGUGCGAAUACAUUUGAAGCUUCUACCAGUCUCUCGUUCAACGCUAGCAUGAAACUGCUUGAAAACUUCAUACACUUGAUCUUUUGUUCUAAGUGCGUAAGCCCAUACCUUCCUGGAAUGAUCGUCAAUGAAGGUAACAAAAUAUCUUGCACCACCAAGAGUACUAGUAGUCAUAGGACCACAAACAUCAGAGUACACAACAUCCAAUACAUUGGGUUUUCUUUGUGCAUGACCAUGUUGAAACGAAGCUCUAUGCUGCUUUCCAGCCAAGCAAUGCGUGCAUGAUUUUAGAGGCAUGCCUUUCUUCAUCCCAGUCAGUGCCUCUCUUUUGGCUAGAAUUUGCAGCCCUUUCUCGCUCAUGUGACCGAGCCGUUUAUGCCAUAGCUCGAUCGAGUCUUCUGCGAGAGCAUUUACGUACCCAUUACUAACUUUUGCAUGUGUCAUGUAUAGGGUGUUCUCCUUCUUCCCUCGUGCUAGGACAAGAGAGUUCUUGCUGAGUUUCCAUUUCCCUUCAGCAAAGACAUUGGUGUAUCCUUCAUCGUCAAGUAAUCCAGUGGAGAUUAGAUUGAGACGCAUGUCUGGAACAUGUCUCACAUCCUUGAGGACCAAGUGACAACUUGUGUUGGUUUCAAGGGAAAUAUCUCCUCUUCCCACGAUCUUGGACAAUUUGUCAUUUCCCAUCCUCACAUUACCAAAAUCUCCAUUGGUGUAAGAUGUAAAGAAGUCCCUCCGUGAGGUGACAUGAAAUGAUGCACCAGAAUCCACUAUCCAGCAUGUAUCUUGAGAGGAAAAAUUAACGAAGCCAUCACCACAUAGAAUAAUUACCUCAUUUCCACCAGAGGUAGUUGCGGUCGUGUGCCUGGCAUCACUCUUUUCGUUACCUCUAUCUUGCUCUCGUUUAAACAACCUGCACUCUCUCUUCAUGUGGCCUAUCCCGCCACAAUGGUAACAUUCUAG